GCCCGCUUAGCUCAGGGGUAGAGCGCGCCACUCGUAAUGGUGAGGUCACUCGUUCAAAUCGGGUAGUGGGCA
rnacentral:tRNA from 1 species